CCUACGGGGGGCAGCAGUGGGGAAUUUUCCGCAAUGGGCGAAAGCCUGACGGAGCAAUACCGCGUGAGGGAGGAAGGCUCUUGGGUCGUAAACCUCUUUUCUUAGGGAAGAACAAAAUGACGGUACCUAAGGAAUAAGCAUCGGCUAACUCUGUGCCAGCAGCCGCGGUAAUACAGAGGAUGCAAGCGUUAUCCGGAAUGAUUGGGCGUAAAGCGUCCGUAGGUGGUUUGUCAAGUCCGUGGUUAAAGCGCGAAGCUCAACUUCGUAAGGGCCAAGGAAACUGACAGACUAGAGUGAAGUAGGGGUAGAGGGAAUUCCCAGUGUAGCGGUGAAAUGCGUAGAGAUUGGGAAGAACACCGGUGGCGAAAGCGCUCUACUGGACUUAGACUGACACUGAGGGACGAAAGCUAGGGGAGCGAAAGGGAUUAGAUACCCCAGUAGUC
rnacentral:rRNA from 1 species